rnacentral:rRNA from 1 species
UACAGAGGAUGCAAGCGUUAUCCGGAAUGAUUGGGCGUAAAGCGUCUGUAGGUGGCUUUUAAGUCCGCCGUCAAAUCCCAGGGCUCAACUCUGGACAGGCGGUGGAAACUACCAAGCUGGAAUACGGUAGGGCAGAGGGAAUUUCCGGUGGAGCGGUGAAAUGCGUAGAGAUCGGAAAGAACACCAACGGCGAAAGCACUCUGCUGGCCGACACUGACACUGAGAGACGAAAGCUAGGGAGCGAAUGG